rnacentral:rRNA from 1 species
UACGUAGGGUGCAAGCGUUAAUCGGAAUUACUGGGCGUAAAGCGUGCGCAGGCGGCUUUGCAAGACAGAUGUGAAAUCCCCGGGCUCAACCUGGGAACUGCAUUUGUGACUGUAGAGCUGGAGUGCGGCAGAGGGGGAUGGAAUUCCGCGUGUAGCAGUGAAAUGCGUGGAUAUGCGGAGGAACACCGAUGGCGAAGGCAAUCCCCUGGGCCUGCACUGACGCUCAUGCACGAAAGCGUGGGGAGCAAACAGG